AAUGCACAGUGUGGAGAACCUGGAAUAAAUACAAAGGAUGACUUUAUGUUAGACCAUUAAGGACAGUAACAGGGUAUAAGAGUGGCAACACCACUCUGGGGUGUUACAUAUGCGGUCGCUCAAAGAGGGAGCAGGAGAAG